UAGUCUACAUAGUUGGUGCUGUAAUAGCAGCAAUGCAGGCACAUGCAGUGUCAGUGUUAGUGGUUUUGGUAGCAUUGUCAGCUACUCCAAUAGAACCAGCAAUACUCACUCUGACCACCAACUCAUCUGAAAACUGUGGCAAAGGACUCACUCAUAAUGGAGUGUUUGUGCUGGUGGAGUAUCGUUUGAUAGAGACACAACCUAGCCCAUGGACGCUCCUUCAGAGUAUUAGCUUGAAUGCUACAGGUUUGCCUAUAAUAUAUACAACAGCUAGAUCUAUACCUAUAUGUAUUAUGUUCCACAAUCAUACAGUUGGCUUCACGAAAUCCCAGAUAGAUAUUAUUACACCUGGAAAUCUUCUGCCAAAUGACACGAUACAGCUGCGGAUCGUUCAGCCAGAACAUGGUGGUGGUUCCUGUAACUGCUGGGGAGUGGACGAACUGAGUUUUACAUCAACUAAUGGAAGCAGUGUCAAUGUUUCUUGUCAGGACUGUUGUGCAUCUAGUAGUCCGCCGAUGGAUAGUGAUAUCGAGAGUGACUACCCUGUACCGUUCUGUGGUGGCAGUGCCAGUGUACCGAGAGGAGUGGUCUUUCCUCCCGUGGGCCUGAGUGGCUCAGAAAUACUAUCGGAGUGUCCAUUGAAUUCUGUGUUAGUUGAUGACAAAGGACAGCCUCCAACUAAUUGCUCAAAUGAAGAGCCAAGAAUGGAGAUAUCAUUUGAGCUGAAUGUCAAACCGAUUGAUUGUUCUCCCAGAGGCUUUGAUGAGGGUGUUGAGAUUUCAGUUGGCGGCUGGGAGAAUAAUGGCCAAUGGAUACCAUUAAUGUAUGUUGCAAACACUAUUGAUAGAAUACCAGAUCGACUCAAUAUCAAUAUUGGUGCCAUAAAUGGGAGUACAGUCAAAAUCAGAGGCUACGAUGUCCCCUACCACUUACGAAGUGAACCAGAGGAAAUUUUUUUCAAUUUAACAGUUUGUGGUGCAGCUGUCCUGAGGAAUGGUAUUCGAAUAAGGUGGCUUCAAACUGGUGCAAUGUACCUCAGUGAGGAAAGCUAUUUGAGGGAUGUUGUGACGCUGAACAAUGUAUUUCAGAAUAGUAUUCUGCUAAAUAGCACCAAUUUUACCCUGCGCAAUAGUGAAGUCCCAACAUCGUCGACUAUUGAUUGUGUUCGCCCAUUUAACGGUAUCAUUGCCAUUUCAACUAAUGGAGCAAUAAUUUUUGGAGCAUUGUGUGAAACAGAAGAUUGUAAAAUUAAGAACAGAGUAAUAACAGCAAGUAGAAUUGCCACCACCAUCCCACUAGACACCAGUGAAUAUAACUCGAAAACUCCCACUUUCACUGAACAGCCUACCAUGGCUAUCACGGAGCAGGCUACCACUGAACAGCCUACCAUGGCUACCACGGAGCACGCUACCACUGAACAGCCUACCAUGGCUACCACUGAGCAGGCUACCACUGAACAGCCUACCAUGGCUACCACUGAGCACGCUACCACUGAACAACCUACCAUGGUUGCCACGGAGCAGGCUACCACUGAACAGCCUACCAUGGCUACCACGGAGCAGGCUACCACUGAACAGCCUACCAUGGCUACCACGGAGCAGGCUACCACUGAACAACCUACCAUGGUUACCACGGAGCAGGCUACCACUGAACAGCCUAUCAUGGCUACCACGGAGCAGGCUACAACUGAACAGCCUACCAUGGCUACCACGGAGCAGGCUACCACUGAGCAGGUUACCAUGGUUACCACGGAGCAGGCUACCACUGAACAGCCUAUCAUGGCUACCACUGAGCAGGUUACCAUGGCUACCACGGAGCCGGCUACCACUGAACAGCCUACCAUGGUUACGACGGAGCAGGCUACCACUGAACAGCCUACCAUGGCUACCAUGGAGCAGGCUACCACUGAACAGGUUACCAUAGCUAUGGCAAAUCUAGCAAGUGCAUUCUCAAAUUUAUCAAAAUUGGUAAACAACGAUAAGGAAUUAAUGGCGAUUGACACACAGCCUCCUGCACAAGCUGCUAUGUCUCUGAGGAUGGUGAUAGAAAGUGCUCAAGUUGUCGAGACAGCCAUCGCAUAUCUUCUGAGCAGGAUAGUCAUCAGAGCUAUGGAUGUUAGUAGUCCUCAAUAAUUUGCCAGGGUUGUGGUGGAUAUCGUCGACACACUAAUUAAUAGAACAUUCAUCAAUGAACAGUCCAACACUAUCGCUGGCAGUACUCUGUUAGCUACUGUCGGGAGUCUGGCCCUCAACGUACUACCUCCAGACACGAACAUCAAUACACAAAACAUAGAAUUAUUUGUGUUUGAGACACAAGUGGACAAUAAAGAUAGAU